rnacentral:rRNA from 1 species
UACGUAGGGGGCGAGCGUUGUCCGGAGUUACUGGGCGUAAAGGGCACGCAGGCGGUGCGGCGCGUUUCGCGUGACAGCGGAGGGCUUAACUCUCCGAGGAUGCGAAAGACGGCGGCACUUGAGGGCCAGAGAGGGACACGGAAUUCCGGGUGGAGUGGUGAAAUGCGUAGAGAUCCGGAGGAACACCGAAGGCGAAGGCAGUGUCCUGGCUGGUGGCUGACGCUGAGGUGCGAAAGCUAGGGGAGCGAACGGG